UACGAAGGACCCGAGCGUUAUCCGGAUUUAUUGGGUUUAAAGGGUGCGUAGGCGGAAUAGUAAGUCAGUGGUGAAAGCCUGUUGCUUAACAACAGAACUGCCAUCGAUACUGCUAAUCUUGAGUACAUAUGAUGUGGGCGGAAUGUGCCAUGUAGCGGUGAAAUGCUUAGAUAUGGCACAGAACACCGAUUGCGAAGGCAGCUCACAAAACUGUAACUGACGCUGAGGCACGAAAGCGUGGGGAUCAAACAGG
rnacentral:rRNA from 1 species